GUGUGUGUGUAUCAGUCCAGUCACUGAGUGUUCAGGAGUCUGACGGCCUGGGGGAGGAAACUGUCACAGUCUGGCAGUGAGGGGUCGGAUGCUCUGGUACGUCUUUCCAGAAGGCAGCAGGGUGAAGAGUGUGUGAGGGGUGUGUGGGGUCCUCUACAACGUGGUCAGAUAAGCCAAAAUUGAGCCCUUUGGUAUUAGUGAUGUUUUAUUUCAUGUACUAGCCGGCUCUAAAAGCCAAUUCUUUGUAGCGAACAAUAAGAGAUGACGCUUUAGCCCUCCUAAGAAUCCAUGAAGGCAGGGGCAGGACUUUAUUUUUAUGGGCACACCAUGUGGCCAAUCACAUUCAAAGACAGACUAGCAUCACACCAUUCUGUGGAACAAGGAAGGGGGACAGAUAUUCCGAAGUGUUGGGAUUUAUUUUUAUCUGUAAGGCUGAUACCUCAUAAUUAGCACCACAUAAGUGCUUUGUAGAGAAGUUUUGGAAGUAGACUGUUACUGUGAUACAACAGACACAUGACUGAGACCCUUCACAGGAACGUGGUCUCAGCCUUAAAUCAGGAAGUGCACUCUACAGGCCUGAUGGAAGACAAGAGGUAGAGGUCAUGGUAAUAAUAAUAAUAAUACAUUUUAUUUAAGGUCACCUUACAAAAGACAAAAAAUAAAAAAAUAAAAGGGGCAAUAGUUAUUAAAAUACAUAAAAUAAGUUAAAAUUGCAAAACAGAGCUUGACAACAGAUAAAAUCAGCACUAAAGCAAAUAAGCCAGUUUGAACAGAUCUGUUUUGAACUGUAAAUAUGGAAGAGAGUCUAUAUUUCUUAUGGCUGGAGGAAGAGAGUUCCAGAGCUGAGGAGCAGAGUGACAGAAGGCUCUGUUCCACAUAGUGGUAAGACAAGCAGAAGGAACAACAAGAUGAAUGGCAGAUGAGGAUCUGAGAGGGGAGGAAACAGUGGUCAUAUGGAGCAGAUCACACAGAUAGGAAGGAGCAGAUUUAUGGAUACACUUGUACGUGAGAAGUAAGAUUUUGAUUGUAGUGAAGUAGAUUUUGGGUUAGGAUGUUACAUGAUGUCCCUAAACGCACCACUGACAUCCACACCUUUCAGCCGACAAUUACCUGGCUAUAAGAAACAGCUGCGCUUCACUACUGAGAGAAGGCAUUUGGCAGUCUUGGCAAUCUAAGGUGGCUGCAGCACUAGGCAGUUGAGCUCCACAUAUCUCUUAAGGAAAGCUACUCAGUUGCCCUUAGAGAGUGGUGUGCAUUAGACUGCUGCUGUCUUGUCAGAUGCCGUUUUGUUUGUUAUGCACUACUUUUAUAAUGUAUAGUGAUUUGGGAUGUGUUGGUUUUAUGUUGAUCUUUUAUUGAUUGUUUAACGUUUUAUCUUUUCUUUUAUUGUUUUAGUGGAGGUGCGGCCGCUUGUUCAGAGGCUAGGCACAUGAGGUGGAAUCCCCUCCCCGAUGCAUGCGAGUGUACACACCGGGCAUAGGCAGAUUGCACCCUUUAGAGUUUAGUGUGAGUGAGGUUUGCUGUGAAAUCACACGGCUUCAGCAAAACCUACCCAAAUACGUAGGAGCUCUGAAGCUGCAGAAAGGAUAUGAAGAAACCUGUAACUCUCCUGGAAGAUAUUACAUAUGUGGAGGAGAUCAAAAGGCACGAAGAAAAGCUGUAGACGAUUUCAACGCCAUCUUGGGCGACACGAGCAAGAAAGGUUUGAUUCCAGAGGAAUUACGAGAUAUCCAAGAACGACGUCUGGGUUUGGUUGGAACGCACGCUGAUGUGUACAAAAUCCGUGUGGAAACCUCAAACCAAAGAGAAUGUGGUGAAAACAGGCCAGCGGUGGAAGCAGACCAUGUGCCACCUAAAUGUGUCUUUCAGAAUGCCCUUAAAACAUUGCAGGAUCCUGAGAACAUAAAGUUAAGAGAGAACCUGAAAAACAAAAGUCCCCACCUUCAUGCACUGUUGGAUAAAAACUGAGAUCGCGGGCUGUGCAGAGAGGUUCUGAAAUCACACCAUGAGGCAGGCCUGACCUGGCGCAACAGAAAAGAGUCUCGUAUAAUCAGCGAGAAGCUUGAGGAGAUUCUUAUUUCUGGAGACGGGGAAAAACUGGUGAAGAUGUCGCUGCUGGCAGCCAAUCCGGUUACAUCCAAUUCUCUUAGAGAGGAUGCAGGAAUCCUCAUGCUGAACACCUCAAAUAUGUCCAGAGACGCAACGAAGCGCUACCACGAUGUUGGAGACAAGCUGCUGGUGGAAGGUUACUACAAGAAAGGAGUCCUGAACGAGGAGGAGAGGCACAGCAUCAUGGACUGGCUGAAGGGCGGAAACCUGUACUCAAAGAACACGUCAGAGUACAAAGAGAUGUGCCGUGAGCUGAGAGCCAAGAUACAGAAACACAACAACAACAGUGGAAAAUAACAACAGUGUGUCUGUGUUUAACUGAACGUAUCAGACAUCCAAACUGAGAAAGCUCAGUAUUAUCAUAUUUUGUUAUCCUCUCUGACUGUCAUCAUCCUCUUUUCCUCUUUUAUGAGAAAACAAAGAAGGAAAAGAGUUUCUCUGAAAGAUUUUAAUCCGAGAAUAAAAAGCAGCUCAAAGACAGUGAUUUGUAAUCACAGGAGCUGUUGUGUGUUCUCUGUGUAACACCUGUCACAGGUACCUGUGAGUGGGCCCUGGGCCUCUGCUUAUAGCACAACAUAUGAAUCAUGAUAUGACUUGUGUAAUUAAACCACAACACAGUAGUUCAUUUCAACGCAGCAGGAUCACCUCACUGAUUCCAGAUCAGAAAACAAAGUGUGUGUGUGUGUGAGUGAGAGAGUGAGUGAGUGAGAGAGAGAGAGGUUACACUGGUGUUUGGGGUCAGAGGUCACACUGGUGAUCACCUUGCUAAGUUAACCUGGUUUUUUGCUCCCACCAUAAAAAAAAUGAAGGAAUAAAGUUGUGUGUAAAACUGUGUUAUUAAUGAUUAAUACACACACACACACACACACUCACACACACUCUUAACUGUUAACUGCCGUCUUGCAGACUUUCAGACUCACUUUGUCAAAGUCAAAAAUUUUUAUUUAGCACAUUUAAAACAACCAUUGACUAAGGUGCUGUACAAUUAAGAUAAUUAAUAGAAAUAAAAACAUAGGGAGAUAUAAGAGUUAAGAAAAA